GUGAGGGUACUAUUGUGGACUUUGUAGUAGAUGCUAGUGUAAUAUUAUGGACUUUAUGGUAGAUGCUAUUGUACUAUUAUGGACUUUCAUUAUGGUCUUUAUGGACUUUCAUUAUCGAAUGUUUGGGACUUUCAUGGACUUUGUGGACUUUUAUUAUAGACUAUUGUGUAUAUGGACUUUCAUUAUUUGACUAUUGUGUGUAUGAACUAUCGGGGACUUUCAUU
rnacentral:lncRNA from 1 species